rnacentral:precursor_RNA from 14 species
GCCCAGCCUCGGACCGUGGGGGAGAGGGGGAAGACGGGAGAAGAGAAGGGAGUGGUUUUUGGGUGCCUCACUCCUCCCCUCCCGUCUUGUUCUCUCCUGCCCUAUCUUCCCUUCCUGUCA